rnacentral:rRNA from 1 species
AUUGAACGCUGGCGGCAGGCCUAACACAUGCAAGUCGAACGAGUGGCGGACGGGUGAGUAAUGUCUGGGAAACUGCCAGAUGGAGGGGGAUAACUACUGGAAACGGUAGCUAAUACCGCAUACCAUCAGAUGUGCCCACAGGGGAUUAGCUAGUAGGUGGGGUAACGGCUCACCUAGGCGACGAUCCCUAGCUGGUCUGAGCGGAGGACCAGCCACACUGGAACUGAGACACGGUCCAGACUCAGACGGGAGGCAGCAGUGGGGAAUAGUGCACAAUGGGCGCAAGCCUGAUGCAGCCAUGCCGCGUGUAUGAAGAAGGCCUUCGGGUUGUAAAGUACUUGCAGCGGGGAGGCGUUACCAGCAGAAGAAGCACAGGCUAACUCCGUGCCAGCAGCCGCGGUAAUAC